rnacentral:lncRNA from 1 species
AUAAACAGGUAGACAGGCAGAUAGACAGGUAGACAGACAGAUAAACAGGUAGACAGGCAGGUAGACAUUCAGAUAGACAGAUAGACAGGUAGACAGUCAGACAGUCAGAUAAACAGGUAGACAGACAGAUAGACAGGUAGACAGGUAGAUAAACAGGUAGACAGACAGAUAAACAGGUAGACAGACAGAUAGACAGGUAUACAGGUAGAUAAACAGGUAGACAGACAGAUAAACAGGUAGACAGUCAGAUAGACAGGUAGACAGUCAGAUAGACAGGUAGACAGACAGAUAAACAGGUAGACAGUCAGAUAGACAGGUAGACAGACAGAUAAACCGGUAGACAGUCAGAUAGACAGGUAGACAGACAGAUAAACAGGUAGACAGUCAGAUAGACAGGUAGACAGACAGAUAAACAGGUAGACAGUCAGAUAAACAGGUAGUCAGACAGGUAGACAGUCUGAUAGACAGGUAGACAGACAGAUAGACAGGUAGACAGACAGACAGAUAGACAGGUAGACAGUUAGUAAGACUGUCAGAUAAACAGGCAGACAGUCAGAUAAACAGGUAGACAGUCAGAUAGACAGGUAGACAGUCAGAUAGACAGGUAGACAGACAGGUAGACAGUCAGACAGACAGAUAGACAGGUAGAAAGUCAGACAGACAGACAGGUAGACAGAUAGACAGACAGAUAGACAGAUAGACAGGUAGACAGACAGAUAGACAGAUAGACAGACAGGUAGACAGGUAGACAGACAGAUAGACAGUCUGACAGACAGGUAGACAGUCAGAUAAACAGGUAGACAGUCAGAUAAACAGGUAGACAGUCAGACAGUCAGGUAGACAGGUAGACAGUCAGACAGACAGGUAGACAGGUAGACAGUGAAAUAAACAGGCAGAUCUUUGGUCAAUAUAGUUUUUUAUUACAGUAAAUUAAAUACAUUGUAAAAAUGUGUUUUUAUAAUAUUCCUAUAACGAUACAGGUGGGGUGAGUCCCAAUGAACGACCCACAGGGUGAUUCCCAAUGUAGCCUCGUCUGACCCAGAACGACCCAUAGGGUGAUUCCCGAUGUAGUCUCGUCUGACCCAGAACGACCCAUAGGGUGAUUCCCGAUGUAGUCUCGUCUGAUCCAGAACGACCCAUAGGGUUAGCCCUAGUAGAGCAGUCUGAUCCAGAACGACCCAUAGGGUUAGCCCUAGUAGAGCAGUCUGAUCCAGAACGACCCAUAGGGUUAGCCCUAGUAGAGCAGUCUGAUCCAGAACGACGCAUAGGGUUAGCCCUAGUAGAGCAGUCUGGUCCAGAACGACCCAUAGGGUUAGCCCUAGCAGAGCAGUCUGAUCCAGAACGACCCAUAGUGUUAGCCCUAGUAGAGCAGUCUGAUCCAGAACGACCCAUAGGGUUAGCCCUAGCAGAGCAGUCUGAUCCAGAACGACCCAUAGUGUUAGCCCUAGUAGAGCAGUCUGAUCCAGAACGACCCAUAGGGUUAGCCCUAGUAGAGCAGUCUGAUCCAG